AAUUUACAUGACGGUUCCUCAAUAAAGGCCAGAAAAGUAAAAAAUUAAACGUUUUUGUUCCUGACAAGUUUCGGCUACUUUGCCUCUGCAGUCAUCAUCAGAGGUGUCACAUUUAUUUUUUACCUUUCUGGCCUUUAUAGAGGAACUGUCUUGUAAAUU